rnacentral:rRNA from 1 species
UACGUAGGAGACGAGCGUUGUCCGGAGUUACUGGGCGUAAAGGGUGCGCAGGUGGCGGCGCGCGUGGGGGGUGAAAUCGCCCGGCUUAACUGGGCGGGGGCCUUCCAGACGGCGUGGCUUGAGCAGCGGAGGGGGACGUGGAAUUCCGGGUGGAGUGGUGAAAUGCGUAGAGAUCCGGAAGAACACCGGUGGCGAAGGCGGCCUGCUGGGCAGUGGCUGACGCUGAGGCGCGACAGCGUGGGGAGCAAACAGG